rnacentral:lncRNA from 1 species
CACGAAGAAGCAGUCCGCCGCCUCCAGCUUCUCCAGGUGCCGGUAGAACUGGGAGUCCCUGUACUUGAUGAUCUUCGACACCAGGUUCAGCUGCCGCCGGAUGCCCACCUCGUCCAGCCGGAAGUUGUGCCGGGCCCGGCGCAUGAAGCCGACGAAGCACCAGAACGCCUCGCAGUCCUCCUCCAUCACCGCCACGAUCGGCGAGAGCAGGUCGCUCAUCCCCUGGCAGUAGCCGAUCUCCGGGUCGAACACGGCGUACGCUUCCAG